rnacentral:rRNA from 3 species
GAGUUUGAUCGUGGCUCAGAUUGAACGCUGGCGGCAUGCCUUACACAUGCAAGUCGAACGGCAGCACGGGAGCUUGCUCCUGGUGGCGAGUGGCGAACGGGUGAGUAAUGCAUCGGAACGUAUCCUGGAGUGGGGGAUAACGUAGCGAAAGUUACGCUAAUACCGCAUAUUCUGUGAGCAGGAAAGCGGGGGACCUUCGGGCCUCGCGCUCUUGGAGCGGCCGAUGUCGGAUUAGCUAGUUGGUGAGGUAAAGGCUCACCAAGGCGACGAUCCGUAGCAGGUCUGAGAGGAUGAUCUGCCACACUGGAACUGAGACACGGUCCAGACUCCUACGGGAGGCAGCAGUGGGGAAUUUUGGACAAUGGGGGCAACCCUGAUCCAGCCAUGCCGCGUGAGUGAAGAAGGCCUGGU